UCUUACUGCCAACAAGAUACAUGACGUGCGCAUUCUGUUGUAUACUUUCUUGGAAUAGCUGGCACAUAUAAUCGAUAGCGAACACCGUUUGCUACAGAGCGGAAACACAAACAGAAGCCAAUUACAACAUGAAGAAUGAAAGUAUUUCGCACUGAUGUUUCUCUUACAUAACAAUAAUGCUGGAAGCCCGAGAGAUCGACCAACAGACGUCCUCGUCGUGGGCUAGCUGCCACAGGAUGUGCGUCAUCAUUGACUCGAGACAGUCAGAACAACGAUCCUCGGCCAUGAGAGACGAAAACUUGUAUAAAUUGUCCUACUCACAUCGUCCACAUAAUGAACUUCGU